rnacentral:rRNA from 1 species
AUUAGCCAUGCAGUCUCAGUACAUGCCGCACUAAGGUGAAACCGCAAAAGGCUCAUUAAAUCAGUUAUGGUUCCUUGGAUCUUAAACAGUUACUUGGAUAACUGUGGUAAUUCUAGAGCUAAUACAUGCAAACAAGUCCCGACCAGAGAUGGGAGGGACGCUUUUAUUAGAUCAAAACCGAUCGGCGUCCGGCUCCGGCCGGCGCCGUCUCUUUUGGUGACUCUGGAUAACUUUUAGCCGAUCGCACGGUCACAGUACCGGCGACGCAUCUUUCAAAUGUCUGACUUAUCAACUGUCGAUGGUAGGCUCUGCGCCUACCAUGGUUGUAACGGGUAACGGGGAAUCAGGGUUCGAUUCCGGAGAGGGAGCCUGAGAAACGGCUACCACAUCCAAGGAAGGCAGCAGGCGCGCAAAUUACCCACUCCCGGCACGGGGAGGUAGUGACGAAAAAUAACGAUACGGGACUCAUCCGAGGCCCCGUAAUCGGAAUGAGUACACUUUAAAUACUUUAACGAGUACCAAUUGGAGGGCAAGUCUGGUGCCAGCAGCCGCGGUAAUUCCAGCUCCAAUAGCGUAUAUUAAAGUUGUUGCGGUUAAAAAGCUCGUAGUUGGAUCUGUGUGCCACGCUGUCGGUUCACCGCCUGUCGGUGUCAACUGGCAUGUCUGUGGGACGUCCUGCCGGUGGCGGUACGGGCUGCCGGCGCUGCGUAGGGGCUCGCCCCCGAAGCACGCCGGCGUGUCCCGGUCCGCCGAUCCAAUCCCGCCGCGGUGCUCUUCACUGAGUGUCGAGGUGGGCCGGCACGUUUACUUUGAACAAAUUAGAGUGCUCAAAUCAGGUCGUAUUUAGGCCUGAAUACUGUGUGCAUGGAAUAAUGGAAUAGGACCUCGGUUCUAUUUUGUUGGUUUUUUGGAAUCAGAGGUAAUGAUUAAUAGGGACAGUCGGGGGCAUUCGUAUUGCGACGUUAGAGGUGAAUUUCUUGG